rnacentral:rRNA from 1 species
GCUUAGCCCUAAACUCAARCGAYCAUCACAASWACAUCGUUCGCCAGAGUACUACUAGCAAUAGCUUAAAACUCAAAGGACUUGGCGGUGCUUCACAUCCUUCUAGAGGAGCCUGUCCUAUAAUCGAUAAACCCCGAUAAACCUCACCAACCCUUGCUAAUCCAGCCUAUAUACCGCCAUCCUCAGCAAACCCUAAAAAGGAACUGUAGUAAGCACAAUUAUAAGACAUAAAAACGUUAGGUCAAGGUGUAGCCCAUGAGUUGGGAAGAGAUGGGCUACAUUUUCUUUCCAAAGAACACCCAUUUCAACAUACGAAAGUCCCCAUGCAACRGAGGACUAAAGGUGGAUUUAGCAGUAAAUUAAGAACAGAGAGCUUAAUUGAAUCUGGCCAUGAAGCACGC